rnacentral:lncRNA from 1 species
CUCCUCUGUCUGUCCCAGGGACCUGGAGACACAGGCAUUCCUUCCUGGAAGCCCCAGAGGAGGAGGAAGAGGAGGAGGAUAAAUAUGAGCUGCCCCCCUGUGAGGCUCUACUCCGCCACCUCACCCCUGCCCACCUUUCUGGCACUGAGGAGGACUCUUUGUACUUGGAUCACUCUGCUCCCCUGGGCCCUCCCACAUCACCACUGCCACCACCACAGCCCCAGCCGGAGAUGGUACACAGCCUCCCUGCCCGCCCCACCCCAGCGCACCAUUUUCCAGUGAGUAAAUCUAAGAGGCAUCCCAUAUGCAAAAUUCCCCCACAUCUGCAUUCAUGAGGCCCCUGAAAAAUUAGCUGCGUCGGAAGCCAGAGCCCUGUUGAGAGUGGCUCCUCCCACCUGCCUGGUCUGGUCCUUGCACCCUCCCCA